UACGGGGGGAGCAAGCGUUGUUCGGAUUUACUGGGCGUAAAGGGCGCGUAGGCGGCCAGCACAAGUCAGUUGUGAAAUCUCCGAGCUUAACUCGGAAAGGUCAACUGAUACUGUGCGGCUAGAGUGCGGAAGGGGCAACUGGAAUUCUUGGUGUAGCGGUGAAAUGCGUAGAUAUUGGGAGGAACACCAGUGGCGAAAGCGACUUUCUGGGCCAUUCCUGACACUGAGGCUCGAAAGCUCGGGGAGCAAACAGG
rnacentral:rRNA from 1 species